rnacentral:lncRNA from 1 species
CGGUUUUGCUUCUUUACCAGGGCUAUGAUCCAGAGUUAUCUCCCUUCAUGACAAUGUUUGGAGGAUUGUGUGAUGCCCUACAGGAAAUAAAAACAUUCUACAAGAUGUAAUAUGGAGGUGACCCAGGUGGAGGUGACUAAUGCAGCACAGCCUGGGUCAAGAAGGACACAGAAUCUGUCCUGGGGGCUGGAGAGAUGGCUCAGUGGUUAAGAGCACUGACUGCUCUUCCAGAGGUCCUGAGUUCAAAUCCCAGCAACCACAUGGUGGCUCACAACCAUCUGUAAUGGAAUCCGAUGCCCUCUCUGGUGUAUCAGAAGACAGCUACAGUGUACUCAUAUACAAAAUAAAUAAAUAAAUCUUUAAAAAAAAAAAAA